rnacentral:rRNA from 1 species
AGGUAAGCUACUAAGAGCGAAUGGUGGAUGCCUUGACUGGUAAAGGCGAUGAAGGACGUACUAGACUGCGAUAAGCUACGGGGAGCUGUCAAGAAGCUUUGAUCCGUAGAUUUCCGAAUGGGGCAACCCAAUGUAUAGAGAUAUACAUUACCUAUAUAGGAGCGAACGAGGGGAAUUGAAACAUCUUAGUACCCUCAGGAAAAGAAAUCAAUAGAGAUUGCGUCAGUAGCGGCGAGCGAAAGCGUAAGAGGGCAAACCCAGUGCUUGCACUGGGGGUUGUAGGACUGCAAUGUGCAAGAGGUGAGUUUAGCAGAACAUUCUGGAAAGUAUAGCCAUAGAGGGUGAUAGUCCCGUAUGCGAAAAACAAACCUUAGCUAGCAGUAUCCUGAGUAGGGCGGGACACGAGAAAUCCUGUCUGAAGCUGGGUCGACCACGAUCCAACCCUAAAUACUAAUACCAGAUCGAUAGUGCACAAGUACCGUGAGGGAAAGGUGAAAAGAACUGAGGUGAUCAGAGUGAAAUAGAACCUGAAACCAUUUGCUUACAAUCAUUCAGAGCACUAUGUAGCAAUACAGUGUGAUGGACUGCCUUUUGCAUAAUGAGCCUGCGAGUUGUGGUGUCUGGCAAGGUUAAGCAAACGUGAAGCCGUAGCGAAAGCGAGUCUGAAUAGGGCGCUUAGUCAGAUGCUGCAGACCCGAAACGAAGUGAUCUAUCCAUGAGCAAGUUGAAGCUAGUGUAAGAACUAGUGGAGGACUGAACCCAUAGGCGUUGAAAAGCCCCGGGAUGACUUGUGGAUAGGGGUGAAAGGCCAAUCAAACUUCGUGAUAGCUGGUUCUCUCCGAAAUAUAUUUAGGUAUAGCGUUGUGUCGUAAUAUAAGGGGGUAGAGCACUGAAUGGGCUAGGGCAUACACCAAUGUACCAAACCCUAUCAAACUCCGAAUACCUUAUAUGUAAUCACAGCAGUCAGGCGGCGAGUGAUAAAAUCCGUCGUCAAGAGGGAAACAACCCAGACUACCAGCUAAGGUCCCUAAAUCUUACUUAAGUGGAAAACGAUGUGAAGUUACUUAAACAACCAGGAGGUUGGCUUAGAAGCAGCCAUCCUUUAAAGAAAGCGUAAUAGCUCACUGGUCUAGUGAUUUUGCGCGGAAAAUAUAACGGGGCUAAAGUAAGUACCGAAGCUGUAGACUUGAUUUUAUCAAGUGGUAGGAGAGCGUUCUAUUUGCGUCGAAGGUAUACCGGUAAGGAGUGCUGGAGCGAAUAGAAGUGAGCAUGCAGGCAUGAGUAGCGAUAAUUAAUGUGAGAAUCAUUAACGCCGUAAACCCAAGGUUUCCUACGCGAUGCUCGUCAUCGUAGGGUUAGUCGGGUCCUAAGUCGAGUCCGAAAGGGGUAGACGAUGGCAAAUUGGUUAAUAUUCCAAUACCAACAUUAGUGUGCGAUGGAAGGACGCUUAGGGCUAAGGGGGCUAGCGGAUGGAAGUGCUAGUCUAAGGUCGUAGGAGGUUAUACAGGCAAAUCCGUAUAACAUACUCCGAGAACUGAAAGGCUUUUUGAAGUCUUCGGAUGGAUAGAAGAACCCCUGAUGCCGUCGAGCCAAGAAAAGUUUCUAAGUUUAGCUAAUGUUGCCCGUACCGUAAACCGACACAGGUGGGUGGGAUGAGUAUUCUAAGGCGCGUGGAAGAACUCUCUUUAAGGAACUCUGCAAAAUAGCACCGUAUCUUCGGUAUAAGGUGUGGUUCGCUUCGUAUUAGGAUUUACUCCGAAAGCGAAGAAACUUACAACAAAGAGUCCCUCCCGACUGUUUACCAAAAACACAGCACUCUGCUAACUCGUAAGAGGAUGUAUAGGGUGUGACGCCUGCCCGGUGCUCGAAGGUUAAUUGAUGGGGUUAGCAUUAGCGAAGCUCUUGAUCGAAGCCCGAGUAAACGGCGGCCGUAACUAUAACGGUCCUAAGGUAGCGAAAUUCCUUGUCGGUUAAAUACCGACCUGCAUGAAUGGCGUAACGAGAUGGGAGCUGUCUCAAAGAGGGAUCCAGUGAAAUUGUAGUGGAGGUGAAAAUUCCUCCUACCCGCGGCAAGACGGAAAGACCCCGUGGACCUUUACUAUAACUUGACACUGCUAUUUGGAUAAGAAUGUGCAGGAUAGGUGGGAGGCUUUGAUUAUAUGACGUCAGUUGUAUAGGAGCCAUUGUUGAGAUACCACUCUUUCUUAUUUGGGUAGCUAACUAGCCUAAGUUAUCCUUAGGUAGGACAAUGUCUGGUGGGUAGUUUGACUGGGGCGGUCGCCUCCCAAAUAAUAACGGAGGCUUACAAAGGUUGGCUCAGAACGGUUGGAAAUCGUUCGUAGAGUAUAAAGGUAUAAGCCAGCUUAACUGCAAGACAUACAAGUCAAGCAGAGACGAAAGUCGGUCUUAGUGAUCCGGUGGUUCUGUGUGGAAGGGCCAUCGCUCAAAGGAUAAAAGGUACCCCGGGGAUAACAGGCUGAUCUCCCCCAAGAGCUCACAUCGACGGGGAGGUUUGGCACCUCGAUGUCGGCUCAUCGCAUCCUGGGGCUGGAGCAGGUCCCAAGGGUAUGGCUGUUCGCCAUUUAAAGCGGUACGCGAGCUGGGUUCAGAACGUCGUGAGACAGUUCGGUCCCUAUCUGCCGUGGGCGUAAGAAGAUUGAAGAGAUUUGACCCUAGUACGAGAGGACCGGGUUGAACAAACCACUGGUGUAGCUGUUGUUCUGCCAAGAGCAUCGCAGCGUAGCUAAGUUUGGAAAGGAUAAACGCUGAAAGCAUCUAAGCGUGAAGCCAACUCUAAGAUGAAUCUUCUCUAAGCUCUCUAGAAGACUACUAGUUUGAUAGGCUGGGUGUGUAAUGGAUGAAAGUCCUUUAGCUGACCAGUACUAAUAGAGCGUUUGGCUUAUCUUU